GACGAACGCUGGCGGCGUGCUUAACACAUGCAAGUCGAACGGAAAGGCCCUGCUUUUGUGGGGUGCUCGAGUGGCGAACGGGUGAGUAACACGUGAGUAACCUGCCCUUGACUUUGGGAUAACUUCAGGAAACUGGGGCUAAUACCGGAUAGGAGCUCCUGCUGCAUGGUGGGGGUUGGAAAGUUUCGGCGGUUGGGGAUGGACUCGCGGCUUAUCAGCUUGUUGGUGGGGUAGUGGCUUACCAAGGCUUUGACGGGUAGCCGGCCUGAGAGGGUGACCGGCCACAUUGGGACUGAGAUACGGCCCAGACUCCUACGGGAGGCAGCAGUGGGGAAUAUUGCACAAUGGGCGGAAGCCUGAUGCAGCAACGCCGCGUGCGGGAUGACGGCCUUCGGGUUGUAAACCGCUUUCGCCUGUGACGAAGCGUGAGUGACGGUAAUGGGUAAAGAAGCACCGGAUAACUACGUGCCAGCAGCCGCGGUGAUACGUAGGGUGCGAGCGUUGUCCGGAUUUAUUGGGCAUAAAGGGCUCGUAGGUGGUUGAUCGCGUCGGAAGGGUAAUCUUGGGGCUUAACCCUGAGCGUGCUUUCGAUACGGGUUGACUUGAGGAAGGUAGGGGAGAAUGGAAUUCCUGGUGGAGCGGUGGAAUGCGCAGAUAUCAGGAGGAACACCAGUGGCGAAGGCGGUUCUCUGGGCCUUUCCUGACGCUGAGGAGCGAAAGCGUGGGGAGCGAACAGGCUUAGAUACCCUGGUAGUCCACGCUGUAAACGGUGGGUACUAGGUGUGGGGUCCAUUCCACGGGUUCCGUGCCGUAGCUAACGCUUUAAGUACCCCGCCUGGGGAGUACGGCCGCAAGGCUAAAACUCAAAGGAAUUGACGGGGCCCCGCACAAGCGGCGGAGCAUGCGGAUUAAUUCGAUGCAACGCGUAGAACCUUACCUGGGUUUGACAUGGAUCGGGAGUGCUCAGAGAUGGGUGUGCCUCUUUUGGGGUCGGUUCACAGGUGGUGCAUGGCUGUCGUCAGCUCGUGUCGUGAGAUGUUGGGUUAAGUCCCGCAACGAGCGCAACCCUUGUUCACUGUUGCCAGCACGUUAUGGUGGGGACUCAGUGGAGACCGCCGGGGUCAACUCGGAGGAAGGUGGGGAUGACGUCAAGUCAUCAUGCCCCUUAUGUCCAGGGCUUCACGCAUGCUACAAUGGCUGGUACAGAGAGUGGCGAGCCUGUGAGGGUGAGCGAAUCUCGGAAAGCCGGUCUCAGUUCGGAUUGGGGUCUGCAACUCGACCUCAUGAAGUCGGAGUCGCUAGUAAUCGCAGAUCAGCAACGCUGCGGUGAAUACGUUCCCGGG
rnacentral:rRNA from 1 species